AAAACGAUUCAGAUUUUCGGAUGCCAUCUUUCAAUUUCGAACGAAUUUGCCCUUUGAUUUCUGCCAUUUUACCAAUUACCCAAACACAAAACGCAGCAACUGGCUAGGCAAAGUGAAAGAGGGUAAUCCUGUCUUUUCGGUCCAGGCAAAAAACGUGGACCAUAUCAGGCCACGUAGGUACCUCUUCCCCGCUCAUUUUCUUCUCUUCCUCUGGUUAGAGAAAUACAGAGAGAGAGAAAAGAGUCAGCAGAAGACGAAAAGGAGAGAGAAGGUGGUGUUGGUGGCGAUAGAUGGCGGUGGUGACCGAGAGCGUCCCAGACUUCAUCGACAUGCACGUUCUACAACGUUAUCGCCGACAUCUGUGAGUGGGGCUAGGGCUAUUCCUUCCACUUCUCCCCCUCUCAUUGAUGUCUCCCCCAGCCAAAAUAUCAGAUCGAAUAAUGGCUGUAGGUUACAGGAAAAGAACCCAGAAAAUCAGGAGCGGUCCUGUUCCUUCUUCGAUCUCAGCGAUUUGUGCUCCUGUUCAUGGAGGUGUGCGUAGAUGUCCCUCUGCCAUUGGUGGGUUUUAGGUGUUGGUGGUAGAGUACGCCGGUGUGGGGAUCUGAGACUGUGGACUGGUACUUCUUCAGUGGCUAUCUUUUUUGGCUUCCACUGGACUGGUUCUUCUCUGCAAGUUCUUCCUUUGCUAGGGCGAAGCUAUUCUCCGUUUUGGUUUGCAGGGUUUCCUAACUUCGUUAUCCUUCGCUGCCUCAUCUUGGCCAAUCUUACAAUAUGCCUCAACGCACAAGCACACACACCCCAAAAAACUAGGCCCCCGAUCGAGCUACGACCUCCAGGGGAAAAGGGCCAUAAAAUCCGUGGUUUCUGUGGCAAAAUAUGAUCACAUUUUUAUUACAGGGACAGGGAUAGUUUUGGCGUUGAUGUGUUGGUCCUUGGUAGGUUUCGAACGUUUCUGCAAAUUUGUACGUUUCGUUUUUUGCUAGGUUUAUACUAAUGAGUUUGUAUAUCAUUUCAUUGACAUUAGCUUUGCUAUCGGUUUAUGGGUUUUGUUGUCCUCUUUGUACUCCUACUGGUGUAGUUUGUUGUCAUUUGUUUUGUUUACAGAAGCUUAGACAACUACUUGCUUAUUUUGCCCUGAUUAUGUGUGCUGAUGCUGGUAGAAGGAACCGUAUGUGCAUCCCAUUUGGUUCUUCAAUAUUUUCUUGCAUUUACAGAUGUUCUUUUUUCUGCCUUCUACGUUUUUGCUUUCUUUAAAGUGCCAGUUCUUCCUGCUCAAUAGUUUUUACUGCAUUCUAUUCUCGGUUAGUGACCAUUCGCUAAAAAUGUAUGUAACCGAGAUGCUUCCAACUUGUCUUUGUGGCAAAUGAUUCUGUCUCAGCAUACGCCCAAUUUAUCUGGCUGUUGUUGGCUGGAUAUUUUCAUCUCGUGUUCCUAAUUGUUGUUUUGCUUCAUUUGUUUGUAAUAAAAUGGUGGUCCAUGCACCCUUUGUCCGUUGGGACUUAGAUAGGGAUGCUUCUUCCCCAAACCCAAGAGCAGGUAUUUAUUAUCUAGAAACAACUCAAGGUCAAAGGGUUGAUUGUGUUGCUGGUAUCUUUGGGCAAGGAAAACACAUGAUUUAUAGACCUUUGCCUGCUUUCCUCCAAGAGUAUGAUAAUAUUUUGCCUUUGAAUGCUGCGCUGGAAUGGAACUUUAGAUGUCAGCUCAUAGCAUGGUUAGAUGGUAUCAUCUAUCAUAGCCAUCGAGGUUUGGUAUCUGACCUAGACCACAGAAAAACUGGGAGUACGGAUUGCCCUUCAAUAUUUCAAUUAAUUGUGCUAUAGUAUCAUCCCUGAGUUUGUUCUUUUUACCUUUCCUGUUGGUGACUUCCUUUGUUGUGUCAUAAAAGUAGAGCUGUAAAUAUGAUGGCACUUGGUUGGAAGGAUAAAGACCAUUGAUACAAUGAUAGAUUUGACCCUGUGCUCGGAAAGUGUAGAUGCCAUUUGUUCGCUUGGCAAACGUAGGAUCUAGAUGGACACCCAUUGAUGUAAAUGCAAAGAUAUCGUUGUAUAGGUUUAUGUACUGCCAAAAAAUGAAUUGAAUCUGUAUUAGAACCAGAGUAAAGCUACAGCAACUCAGGCAGAAUAACAUAUUUGUAAAGAGAAACUUCUCCACUAGAGCAGCAAAAUUUUAUGGUUUCAUAGGGAAACUUUUUAGCUCUGCAAAAUCGGCAAGGCUGCAUUGAUGGUAAUCUUAAUGUCUCAGUUGGUAUUGAACGUUACUUUACAGCUGGCAUUGGCAUUAGAGUUCCAACUGCUGCGCCUACAUUCAAUUUUUUAGAAUUAGGAAUAAGAAUUUUAGAGGGAAAAUUAUUUAUGGAUUGCAAGUUAAAAUGUGUACCUAUGGAGAUGUCGGAUAGUAUGCUUGUGUGAAAGUUUAGAGGUUAGUAUAUUCAAUCUCAAGUGAUAUUGCAGAUAGCUAAAAGUUUAAUAGAAAUGUGAUAAAUUGCAUACAUGGUUCAUGUUCCGUUGCAGUUGUUGAACUUAUUGCUAUUGUUGGACCAGGCAUGGAAAAUGCAAAACAAGGGUAAACCAAAAUUCAGUAAAUUUAGAAAUUUGGAAAAGCAACACAUGGACUUCUCUAAAAAGCAAGUAUAUUGCAAUAUAUAUACAAUGGUAUGGACAAAAUGAAUCACUUAGACUGGACACAAUAUUCAUACUAAGUACUUGGUAUUAUGAUUGGUGGGAGGUUAUUAAAGUCUUGGUUUAUAUAUAGUUUGAUAUUUUGGGCCAAAGUUAUGGUGUUAUCUUGCCACAAUACAUGCCUUUAGCUUAAAUGAGUUGGUUCAUCCGCUAAGCACCGCGCUUAUGUCUUAAAUCUUUGUUUUCCAGGUGUGUGGGUCCACUGCAGAGUCUAGACAAGAUUGUGGAUAGUGUAGUUCAGACUUUUGAUUCCCUUGCAUAUGUGGAUAGUUUUGGGUUUCUUUAAUGUUGUAAAUACCAGUGAGCUUAUCAUGUGCUUCAUAUUUUCCGGAAUAUUCGCGGGUUGAGUUUUUUUUGGGGGGGUUUGACACCUGGCUGGCUGGUCCAUUAUCUUUAUACUUGAGCGGUGCUAGGGUGUGAGUUCAUCCCAUUUGGAAAACAGUAUAUUGUGGUAAUUUCUGGGAUGGGGUGUUACAGUAACCUUUAUGAUUCUGUCUGUUUCAUUUCAGACACAUUAUAGGAAUCGUAAGAGAAGUACAUGCAAAGGGAUUUUAAAGGACAUGGAAGGAUUCUGGCAUUAGGCCGUCGAUUAAGGGAGAUUGUUAUGCAAAGUUAAGAAAGGUAAAGUAAUAGGAAUGCUUGGGUCCAUAUUGUACAUGGCUUAGUUUCUAGAAUCCAAAAAAUUGAACAGACAAAUCCAUUUUCCUACUUAUUUUUGGGGAUUAUUCACAUACUUUCUCAAUUUUUCCCCACGUUUUACAGAGUUCUAUCUUGCUAAUUCAAAGAUUUGUUGUAGGAAUACAAAAGGAGGUUUGUUGUUUACCAUGCUUAAUAUCUACUUUUUAGUUCACUUCCUUCUUAUGUUCGCGUUGUCAUGUUGUUGAGUUGCUGCAGUGGUUCAAAAUUUAAUGUUAGAAUUGGUUGUGGAGGGAUUUUUUGCAUCUCAAAUCAAACCAUUACAUUCUUUUUUACUAUCUACCUUUUUGGUGUGAUAGAUUGAGUAAAUAAAGAGGUUUGUGGCUCAUGGUACAUGAAAAGUGUUGUUAACAUCACUACCUUUCGAAAUGUAGCUUGGGUUGAGUUUCGCUGGGUAUUGGCCUUUUUUCCCAAAUACAUUGAGAAUUUGCUUCUGUAAAAUCAUAAGUUCGGAAGAGAGACUAUCUUAAACAACUGGAUGCAAAAAAAUUGCCAGGGCAAACCAUUUGUUGAUGGGUAGGCUAAGACAAUGCAGUAAAUUAGUGCAGUGUUGAAGCAAGUGGGAGAGCCUAGACUUAGAGGCUCAUAUUUGAAGGAUUCUAAGAAAGCAGGAAUAUAUCAGUUUCAUAAGGAGAAUCCAGAAGUGUACACGUUUUUAAAGUUGGCUAAAGAUUACAGGAUUAUGGGAUAGAGGGUGCAUGCCAUUUUGUGGCUAAAAAAAACUUGAACAGGAAAAGGAGUAGAAGCUUGGGCAUCCUCUGGAUGACCCUGUCGAGCUCUUGCUCUACACUUGCCCUAAGUAAGCUAUCAAACCAGUAAUUUUUUUUUUGUGAAAAAUACUGCAAGAAUUUCUAAUAAGAGUAUAAGAUUAUGCCAGUACUAUUAGCUAGCUUAGUAAUUGGUGGAUUACUAGAGUUGGUUGGUACUUCACUUGAAAGCUUACAAUUGUACUCAUAGUUCUUACAUAAACAUGUUUGAAAAAGAGGACUUAAAGUAUCUUAGAAUUUGAGGAUUGCUGAACUUAGGUUUUUGGACAAGGAUGCUAAUCAGCUAUGUGAAGUCCAAACUUUUUAACAUGCCAGCUGAACGAGCUAAGUCAAUCACUUGGGGUUGUCUUCUCUUUAGUAGCGUUUUAUGGAACUAGGUGAUUUGCCGUUCGCAAUAUAUUCUCAGUUUGCUGCUUGCUUUUAUAUUUAGAUUCAGGUUACGCAAUCAGAACUUAUUAAAUGCAAAUUGAGGAGUCGAGGAUUUAAUCAACCAAGACAGAGCUAGAGAAUUUAUGGGUCAAUGUAGGAGUGCAAAUUCUUGCAUUCAAUAAUACUUUUGAGUUAGGCUUGCUUCAUGCUUUUCUAUGUGCUUGCUUUAUAUUCUUGUUGAUCUACCAUGUAUGCAUUAUCUCCAAUUACUGAUUAUUAUGCUUCUCUCCAUUUCCUAGAGCUGAUUGAUUUGUGCAAUUUGAUGCCCUGAUCUCAUCAGUUUAGUUUACUCUCCCAAAGUUUUAUGAUUCUAUUAUACAAGAGCUAGGCUUUCGCAUGUCAUCAUUUGAAUUCUUUUGUCCAUGAUCCUAGAGUUUGAUUAAGUAAUAUGAAAUUGAAUGGCUCCAAUAGGGCAGGGACGACCAUUUUGAGAAGAUGGGAAAAUUCUAACAUUUGUGGUGUUCCUUAUUAUCAGUCUAUAGGCACAUGUAUGGUUGUUUGCGAAUUGCCAUGUUUAAUUAUUUGACUAAGAGCACAUAAUAGCAUUAAUGGCCAUCGGGUUUGGAAAAUUAUUGGACUUGCAGAGGUCUUCCAUUAUAAUUUGUACCUUGGAUGAUGCAUUUUGAGAAUUUAUGGAUUGGAACUUGUGAAUGAUUGGCUUUCAACGAAAAAAUAUUUUGUUCUACCUGCAAUUCAGUUAUUAAGUUGUCUAUCUUGAGUUCAAAUGCCUUGUGAGAAUUGAAUGAUAGAGGUUUUACUUUUCAAUUUACAAUUUUUGCAUUCCUAAUGUGUAAUAGGUGGCACUUCUUGCAGCAUGUGUGCAUUGGGGCUUGAAAGUUCUUUCUGCAAUGGAAGCUGGCGCGAGAACUAACCCUACAAAAAUUUGUGUGGUUGAUUUCAAAGAGUUAACAAAUGACCCAUUAUCUCAAGCCAUAACUCUUUUGGUGUGCAUGAUUUGCUUUCUAAGUACUUUUGAAUCGUUUACCUAACUACCAUAAACUUUUCUACAAAGAAACUACUCUCCCAUCUGUAAUUAAGGUAGGCAAUAUAUAAUUUACAUGUGCAUCAGCUAGACUUUUUGCUUCCUUAAGCAAUGUAAUAUACAUUCAUAACUCUUCUACUAUCA